rnacentral:misc_RNA from 1 species
AACGCACGAGACCUGCGGACCUGCGGAGGGAUCAUUAAUGAGAAACUGCCCCUCGCGGGUAGAUCUCCCACCCUUUGUAAACUUACCUUUGUUGCUUUGGCAGGCCCGUCUCCGGACCGCCGGCUUCGGCAGGCCAGUGCCUGCCAGAGGAUUCUAAAACUCUGUCUGUCAGUGUUGUCUGAGUCUAUAUACAAUCGUUAAAACUUUCAACAACGGAUCUCUAGAUCGGAAGAGCACACG